rnacentral:rRNA from 1 species
UACGUAGGGUGCAAGCGUUGUCCGGAAUUAUUGGGCGUAAAGAGCUCGUAGGCGGUUUGUCGCGUCUGCUGUGAAAAUCCAGGGCUUAACCCUGGACCUGCAGUGGGUACGGGCAGACUAGAGUGCGGUAGGGGAGAUCGGAAUUCCUGGUGUAGCGGUGAAAUGCGCAGAUAUCAGGAGGAACACCGGUGGCGAAGGCGGAUCUCUGGGCCGUAACUGACGCUGAGGAGCGAAAGCUAGGGGAGCAAACGGG